GAUCGGGAUAACACCUGGAAACAGAUGCUAAUACCGGAUAACAACAGAUGAUGCCUAUCAACUGUUUAAAAGAUGGUUCUGCUAUCACUCUUGGAUGGACCUGCGGUGCAUUAGCUAGUUGGUAGGGUAACGGCCUACCAAGGCGAUGAUGCAUAGCCGAGUUGAGAGACUGAUCGGCCACAUUGGGACUGAGACACGGCCCAAACUCCUACGGGAGGCAGCAGA
rnacentral:rRNA from 1 species